rnacentral:rRNA from 1 species
AGAGUGAACGCUGGCGGUAGGCCUAACACAUGCAAGUCGAACGGCAGCACAGUAGGAGCUUGCUCUUACGGGUGGCGAGUGGCGGACGGGUGAGGAAUACAUCGGAAUCUACCUUUUGGUGGGGGAUAACGUAGGGAAACUUACGCUAAUACCGCAUACGCCCUUCGGGGGAAAGCCGGGGACCAGCAAUGGCCUGGCGCUGAUAGAUGAGCCGAUGUCGGAUUAGCUAGUUGGUGAGGUAAUGGCUACACCAAGGCGACGAUCCGUAGCUGGUCUGAGAGGAUGAUCAGCCACACUGGAACUGAGACACGGUCCAGACCGUCCGUAACGGGGACGCACGCGAGGUAGGGGAAA